UCAACCUUGAUUCCAUCUGCAC
rnacentral:siRNA from 1 species